AGCGAACGCUGGCGGUAGGCCUAACACAUGCAAGUCGAACGGCAGCACAGUAAGAGCUUGCUCUUACGGGUGGCGAGUGGCGGACGGGUGAGGAAUACAUCGGAAUCUACUUUUUCGUGGGGGAUAACGUAGGGAAACUUACGCUAAUACCGCAUACGACCUACGGGUGAAAGCAGGGGAUCUUCGGACCUUGCGCGAUUGAAUGAGCCGAUGUCGGAUUAGCUAGUUGGCGGGGUAAAGGCCCACCAAGGCGACGAUCCGUAGCUGGUCUGAGAGGAUGAUCGGCGACACUGGAGCUGGGACACGGUCCAGAGUCCUACGGGAGGGAGCAGUGGGGAAUAUGGGACAAUGGGCGCAAGCCUGAUCCAGCCAUACCGCGUGGGUGGAGAAGGCCUUCGGGUUGUAAAGCCCUUUUGUUGGGAAAGAAAAGCAGCAGGUUAAUACCCCGCUGUUCUGACGGUACCCAAAGAAUAAGCACCGGCUAACUUCGUG
rnacentral:rRNA from 1 species